GACGAACGCUGGCGGCGUGCUUAAUACAUGCAAGUCGAACGGUGAAGCGUCUUACUUUUUGGUGGGUGAGGAUGAGUGGCGAACGGGUGAGUAACACGUGAGUCACCUGUUCCCUUCUUCUGGAUAACCGCAUGAAAGUGCGGUUAAUACGGGAUAUUCUGGGUCUGUCGCAUGAUGGGUCUGGGAUAGAUUUUGAUUCGGCGGGGGAUGGGCUCGCGGCCUUUCAGUUUGUUGGUGGGGUGAUGGCCUACCAGGGCGGUGACGGGCAGCCGGCCUGGGAGGGUGGACGGUCUCACUGGGAGUGAGGCACGGCCCAGACUCCUGCGGGAGGCAGCGGGAGGGAUUAGUGCACAAUGGGCGCAAGCCUGAUGCAGCGACGCCGCGUGAGGGAUGGAGGCCGUCGGUUUGUGAACCUCUUUCGCCAGGGAAGCAGGCCUGCCUCGUUUGUGGGUGGGUUGACGGUAGCUGGAUAAGAAGCGCCGGCUAACUACGUG
rnacentral:rRNA from 1 species